GACAGAGGUGCAACGUUGUUCGGAAUUACUGGGCGUAAAGCGCGUGUAGGCUGCUUCGCAAGUCGGAUGUGAAAGCCCUGGGCUCGAACCCAGGAAGUGCAUUCGAAACUGCAGAGCUGGAGUCCUGGAGAGGAAGGCGGAAUUCCCGGUGUAGCGGUGAAAUGCGUAGAGAUCGGCAGGAACAGCCCAGGGGAACAGCGCCGGGCAAGCGCUGACGCUGAGGUGCGAGAGCGUGGGGA
rnacentral:rRNA from 1 species